rnacentral:ncRNA from 1 species
CGGGGACAAUGCGGCCUCCCCGUGAAAUGGCGACCCCAUUCAAGCGCUGC